AUACGGAGGAUCCGAGCGUUAUCCGGAUUUAUUGGGUUUAAAGGGUGCGCAAGCGGCCAUUUAAGUCAGCGGUUAAAUCGUGGGGCUCAACCCCAUUCUGCCGUUGAUACUGGGUGGCUUGAUUGCGGUCGAGGUUGGCGGAAUUCGUUGUGUAGCGGUGAAAUGCAUAGAUAUGACGAAGAACACCGAUUGCGUAGGCAGCUGACCAGACCGCAAAUGACGCUCAUGCACGAAAGUGCGGGGAUCGAACAGGAUUAGAUACCCUGGUAGUCCGCACAGUAAACGAUGAAUACUUGUUUUCGGCGAUAUAAUGUCGGAGGCAAAGCGAAAGCGAUAAGUAUUCCACCUGGGGAGUACGCCGGCAACGGUGAAACUCAAAGGAAUUGGCGGGG
rnacentral:rRNA from 1 species